CAGACACGAGCACGGCUGCACGGGCUCUCCUCUCUCCCUCCCAGCCGCCAGGAGGCACACGGGCCGCGCGGCGCUCGAUCCGGUGACGCGCCGGCCGCCGGCCGACGACGGUAAUCGCAGCACCCUACACCACCGUUACACCUUAGCUCCUCCUUUCCUCCGCGUGCCCGAACUCCUCCUCUCUCGCGCGCGCCCCAGCUCCUCGUUGUGCGCCGCCCGGGAGGGCUUGCGCUCGCCGCUCGACCAGAGCCACCGCCAGCUGGUCGUCGUUGCACUUGCCGGCCACCUGACAGUCCCCUCUGCACUGCCCUCCACCUCAAAUUUGUACGCGUAUGUGUUUGUGGAUGUUCUCAAUUAUUUUUGCACACAAGGUGUUUGUGUGUUUGUCCGAGCCAGUUUCAGUCACAGAUCCUUGAGGUAAACUCCCACAUGAAUACAUCAUGAGAGUAACUCUCCUUCAAUAUGAUUCAAAACAUGUUAUGAUGGUGGGAGUUAAUUAAUUUACAUCAUGUGGAGUCUCAAGACACAUGGGUACUCCGGUUCCUAUUGCUUGACAAAUACUCCCUCCGUUCCAAAAUAGAUGACUCAACUUUGUAAUAUUACAAAGUUGAGUCAUCUAUUUUGGAACGGAGGGAGUAUAUAUCUACAGAUUUUCUAAUAUAAAGAAGUUACAGUUAGGUGUUGACCUUUUUCUUUGCCUAGACACAGCAGCUCCAACAAGAUCUGGGCGCUCAUAAUGAGAUAUAUAUGCAUGCUUUUUGUUUUUGCUGUGCCUUGUUCUCCAUUUAUCUUUGCUGCGCCAUUGUAGUUUGAAUUGUUCUUUACCUUCAUCCGACCGAAUUGAGCUAUCGGAGGUGCUGCGGUCUUUUGGCAAACAUGCUCUAUAUUAUAUGGUUUGGCACCUACAGGAUGCCAUCUCAGGUCAUGGAUCCACUCUGUCUGCUUCGUCCUUCACUGAGGACCUUCUCAUCCCCACAGAGAUCAGAGAGAAUAUUAUAUUUUGGAAGCAGGAAACCAUACCUCAUAAGAUGGGUGAGCUGUAGGAUUUGAUUCUAUUCAACUUGAAUUAGUUUUUGCUCAUCAUGUUCUUUGUAUUAGGAAUUCAGAUGCCUUCCAGCUCUAAUCUUUUUGUAUUGUUGGUGCAUGCUGGGAGUCACAUUGCUAUGCAUGCUAGCAAACAUUAGGAUUGGAAGUCUUACCCUGUAGGUUAUUAAUAUCUUUUCCACUACACUGAGGUUCAGCAAUUUAAUUCGUAUUAAGGUCGCACAAGAAGUUUUGUUUUCGGAUUUGUCUUGGCAAACAUAUUUGGUACAUCAAUUUAAUUCGUAUUAAGGUCACAGAAGCAGUUAGUUCCAUUACAGUUGGGUCACCGACGGUUGCCGUGCUACUAUGCUCCUCUCAUGUUGUAGUGACUAGCUGCUGCAAUUCACGGAUCAUGCUCUCUCGUGGGAAGGAGGUUGUGGCUUUCUCAAUUGAUCAGACAGAACCCCACAUAGUUCUUUUCUUGAUAUAUAUUGUUAUUUCUGAUACUGUGUGGACCAUCAGAAACCUGAUGUGUGUGUGUGUAUCAUAGAAUAUCUUGCUAUUAUGUAUAUUGCUUCCCUUUUAUUCAUGUACUACUUCUCUAAAUAUAAGCCACUUCUUUUCUAUUGUUAGCUCUAUCUUUUGAUGUUAAUGCACUAAAAGUCUAAAGCCUUUCCCUAUGCAAAAUGAUAAUAUUAGAGCUAUGCGUCUUAUAAUCCCUACUGUAUAUGACAAUGCGAUAUUUAGUUAUAUUAUGUUUGUAGCAUGACAUUUUUCCAUUCCUUUUUUUUCCCGCUGUAUCACAUGGUAAAUUAUGAUGUACAAUGACUGCUCUUGCAAAAAGUUUGGAAUUCAGAGAGGGAUUCUAUAACAAGCAAGGUUUUAGGAUCUGAAUCUAAAUGACCUCUUCUUCAGUUCAGUCCUAGCAAAAGCUGAUCAGAGAAACAAAGAAGCAGCAACGAAUGGGUCCCUUUCUUGCCCACAAGAGUUGUCUGUGUGCAAGUCAUGAACCUUUUGUCCAUCAAUACAAGUGCAGGAUUUGAACAAGUUUAUUCUGACCUUCUGUUGGGAGUUUAUAUUAUACCUUUCAUGCAAAGUAGUUACAUUUUCGCAUGGAAGACGAUGCCCAUAGAGUGGAAGGUGGAGAGUUUCAGACUUUGGUGGAUGUUAAUAUGCUCAAAGUUUUUCAAUUAAACAUGUUGAAAUCUUCCAUGUAGCUGUGAUUGUUCUCUCCGGACAUGGAGGAUCAGUUCUUGGACAAAUUUAUUUGUUUGUUGUAUGACUUGCCACCAUUUUUUCUAAAUUUCUAUUCACAUGUUAUCAAACCAUAAAGAUUUCAAUAUCUUAAAACAUUAGUAGAAUUAAGCUGCCUGUAAUUCUGGACUCUAGCAUUUUGUGCUUGGUGGCCUUCUUCGCCGACUUCGUGGGCAUGUCAGCCCUCAUCUCCACUUCGUCAUCGACGACAUCUACGACCACGACACCUGCCACCUUGGGUAUGAUUGUGAUCUGUGCAAUGGGUGCAUAGUGGAAGGGGCUGCCGUUCCAGUUCAGCAGGGGCUGCACCUUCUACUGCAGUGAGCCCGACCCUCAUCGACAGCAACGAAUUCAGAUUGUGUUUGGAGAUGGUGGCCCGUGAGGAGGAUUUCAGGGGAGAUCAUACUGUGACUAUGACAAGAGGCUGAGAUUUGACCUGCACUGUAUGCGAAAAGCAGGUUCAGGAGCUCCAAGCCAACAACCGCCAGAUCUUUGAAAAAGAUAUUUUUAUAAUUAAAGUGAAGAUACUGUGAUGGUGUGUCAUUUUCUGGAAACGUCGGAGAUGAAUUUCAGGAAGGCACCACUUUCUUCUUCAGAGGCCAGCGUAUUUGGGAAGCAGUUAUUAGGGAACUUUUAUCAAAAGGUCUAUCACAUGCUAAAGAAGUAGCCUUCCUACAAAAAUAGGGUAGUUGAUUCUUUAGAAGUGUUUGGAGCAACCAAAAUUCAAGUGAGAACACAAUACUUCGUUGGUGUGUCCAUACAUAUGUCUAUAUAUACGCCGGAACCCUCAAGUGAGUACAAAUCAAAUGAACGAUGCCCCAAGAACUCAGGUGCAUUUCGAAAUGUUAUAUUCCUCCCACAUUCAGCCAAUUGGAGUAUCCUGCUCUCCCUUCUAGAGAUGUUGCAACCUUGGGCGAUCGGUCCAUUGGAUUCUUGAAACCAAUGCCUUUUCUGAAGUAAGUCUGGCAUGCAAGGUGCCCUCAAGGUUUAUUUUCAAGAGAUGGCGCUGGGGUCUCGGGGACGUGCCGGACGGCGUCGCGUUCCUGCACCUUGGGGAUGGCUUUGGGUCGAAUUCCCCUCCAUGCAAUCUUGUGCUCCUUUGGGUGUUUCUAAUCUUUCUGCCUUCUAGCGUAAAUAGAGAGAUGUUCUCCCAUCGCUAUUGGCUGUCAAAUUUGCGAUGCAAUCCGUCCCUAUUUCGGCACAAUCAGCAGAACAAAGCAGCUACCAUGAUUUGCCCAUUGAUCUCUUGGAGUGAUUCAAACCUGCAAGCACCAGGAUUGAGUGACUCCUGCAUAUGAUGACUGAAGAAUUUUUCAUCAAUUUUCCAACCUGAAUUAGCUACAGAAGGGAAAAGAGGAGUCCAGGCUCUGAUGAACACACCGUCUUUCCCAGAAACCACUUCAACUAGCCCAGGACUGUGUCUAUUAGUCCUCCAGUAUUUGUUAAGAUGAGAUAACACAUUGUAUGACAGGUAACAAGCAACUGAAGCAAGAAGAUUUUUUAAAUUUCUUGGAAAGUAUAACCACCUUAACCCAGGAUGCAUGAUGAAGGAUCCAAUAUGUCAGGACCAACGAGGGAACUGCAGUAUGUCAGAACCAAUGAGAGAAUUGUAGAGCUUCAUAUUAAGUUUAUUUUAGCUGCUUGCCCGCUUCAAGUGUCUAGAUUACAGGAAAUAUGUUUCUUUAAGUAACAAACCUGGAUACCAAUUUAUUCAAACUAUUAUAUUUCUUAUAGAAGUAAUGCAAUAUAUUCUCUCUCUUGUGCCUAUUUGAAA